ACUGUCAAGCCCAGGCAGCAGGAGGGUUGUGGAAGGCCCAGCUUGGUCUGAAAACCAUCCCUGUGCUGGGGAUACCCAGGAGGGAAAAGCUGAGCAGCCCCUGUUCUGCAGCAGUCCAUGAGUGAGGGAACCAAAGUACAAGUUUCUGCUCCAGGACCCACUGCCAGGGAGAUGAUUAUUCAUUAACUCCAGGUUAUGUGAUUUGUCAGGCUCUCAAUGAGUUCCUUCAUGCUUCCCUGCAAACCAGCCCCAUGCUC